rnacentral:rRNA from 1 species
CAGCACCUCAAGUGGUCAGGAUGAUUAUUGGGCCUAAAGCAUCCGUAGCCGGCUCUGGAAGUUUUCGGUUAAAUCUGUAUGCUCAACAUACAGGCUGCCGGGAAUACUGCAGAGCUAGGGAGUGGGAGAGGUAGACGGUACUCGGUAGGAAGGGGCAAAAUCCUUUGAUCUAUUGAUGACCACCUGUGGCGAAGGCGGUCUACCAGAACACGUCCGACGGUGAGGGAUGAAAGCUGGGGGAGCAAACCGGAUUAGAUACCCGAGUAGUCC